rnacentral:rRNA from 1 species
AUUGAACGCUGGCGGCAGGCCUAACACAUGCAAGUCGAGCGAGCGGAGGACGGGUGAGUAAUGUAUGGGGACUGCCCGAUAGAGGGGGAUAACUACUGGAAACGGUGGCUAAUACCGCAUACUAUAGGGUAACCCAUAUGGGAUUAGCUAGUAGGUGGGGUAAAGGCUCACCUGUGCGACGAUCUCUAGCUGGUCUGAGAGGAUGAUCAGGCACACUUGGACUGAGACACGGCCCAUCCUCCUACGGAAGCAGCAGUGGAGAUAUUUCACAAUGGGCGCAAGCCUGACGCAGCCAGUCCGCUUGUAUGAAGAGGGCCUUAGGGGUGUAAAGUACUUUCAUCGGGGAGGCGUUACCCGCAGAAGAAGCACCGGCUAACUCCGUGCCAGCCGCCGCGGUAAUAC